UAAUUUUAUUCUUUAUCGUGUUUUUAUUCUUUAUCGUCCCAUUGGGUAGUAAAUAAGGAAUACCUACAUAAUAACCGUAUCCUUGCAAAGUUAUGCACCAAAGGCAUGUGAUACUCAGAAAAUAUAAAAUCGUUCAGAAUCUAAUUCAAUGUGUAUACAUGAAUGAUACAACGUGUUUUGCGAGCGAAAACACGUUGUUUACAAAGCAAGAAGAAUUCUACCACCAGACAGACCAACGCGAAAAUGUCUCGAACGAAUGCAAACAACCGACUCACAUUUUUCGACUGUUACGUCAUUGGGAGAAACAAUAAUUACCAACAUGCUACUCUCUGCUAUCGUCUAGCGGAAACAGCGUCGUCACUUCGCAUAGAAAAAGUCGCAUAAUGCCAUUCGGAAAUGAAUACUCCAUAGUUCAUUGCCUUAAAAGACAGCGCAUUGCCAGAGCGACACUACGUACCGGACGAGAUGUUACGUAGUUCCUAAAAACGUCGAAGGAAUCUUUUCAAUGGCACAUGUAUGGAAACACCAUGUCAAUUGGAAAUCCGGGUCAAGGGCAAACAUUUAAACUACUGCGAUAACUGUCUAUAUUCCGACAAAAACACCUUUACAGUACAAGUUAUAUUAAAUAGAACUGCCUAAUACUAAUUUAAAAAAUUAUAAACGUACGUAAAUUUUGCGCUAUGUGAUUACGUUCACCGUAUUUUUUAGCUCAAUGACGUAUUUUACGUAAAAUAGCCGCGCAACGUAUAGCCGUUUGUCAAAAUCCGCCUCGUUUACUCUUACCUGCUGAAUAAGUGUGAUCAAUUGGCGUUCCAGUGCGCUGGAAAUAAAUAAAGACGAUCGUGUUAUUUACAAUCGACUUCGAUCCGUCUUGCCAGAGGUGCAACUUUCAUCGCCAAAAUUGGUGCUACGUUCGAUCGCUUGCACGCGGCGGUAUUUUUAACUGUGGGUAAUUCGACUGCAGCUUACAUCAUGCGGGUUACGUAUAUUAAAAACAACUGAUCAGGUAAACCCAUAUUAAUCUAUACGAACCCAUAUAAACUGCCUAACCUAUAUGAAUUGUUAAUUACAGAAACUUAGUUUAAGCGAAUUUGGCCUAAAUAUUCACAACCUUUUCUUAAGGAACUAAUAAACUAUGACAUAUUCUACAUAAACUGAUAUCUCUAUCUGUCUAAGCUGCUUAUAAGCAACAAACAAUUCAAAUCAGUUCAUUCUUGCUCAUUAACGCAUUAACAUUACAUGCCCUGCCAGUAAGACUCCGCAUGCCUAAACCAGACUGGCGCUAUCUUGGUACGGACCUAGAGGGGCACAGAAUCAUAGACCUCUCCUAUGGGACUGCGGCAUACUCUCAUCAUUGCUCUAUCGUUCUGGCGAUAAGACGCUGGCCUGCUUGACAAUAAACCGGCACUUGGAUACGCGUAAAAGGUUGCGCGGCCGGCUGUUCCCACCAGCGAGGCGAAAUGAAUUGGAGGGGCGGCUGAAACAGCUGCUCUAACGUUUUACUCGCGCCGGACACUUUUGCAGCUCCAAGCAAGCGUUAAAUUGAUGCGAACGAACGACAACUACAACUGCUCAAUCCUGUUUACAAGCAAGAUAACCGAUAAAACAAAGCCCGAAAACGUUGACAGUUCUUUUUUUCUAUCAACUUAUAUAUAUAUAUACUUUAUUUAACGUAAAUACAAAAGUAGAAGUUUUAAAUUUUACACGCCUUACAUGCUCAACUAUCAUACAGUUCCUAAUUACUUUGAUAAUUAAAAUCGCCAAUAAGCGUUUUUCCCCUUCUAAUAAGUGGUACAUAAUUUUUAAUAUUAGGCUUAUAACUAAUGGCUAUGCAUUGUUUUAUAUAUUACACUUUUUCUAUUCUUUUAAACAUGUGCACUCAAUACGUAUACCAGUCUGUCUAUAUUACUCAUGAAGUGGCGCGCAUUUUUAUAACCUACUCGCUUCGAGUGAGUUCUUAAAUCCUUUUCCCCAUGCUCUCGGUCAGGGCUAUUCUUAACGCAUGACGAUGUUGCUUUUAACAAGCCUAACGUAACGAGCGCCGACCUCAGACGUUGAUCUGCUGUCAGCGAGAAUAUCUGAUUUAUUCUGAUUGUAAAUUAGCUCUGUCAGUUAACCGGGGUUUUGGUAUUAAAUUGGUUUAAAAAUAUUACUUCAAUUUUACAUGCAAAAUGUCACACACUCUACUCUAUAGUCUAUAGUGUCUAUACCGAUUGAUUGGCAUCGAAAUUUGUUUUCGUUUCAAAC